UGAAUCUUUGACUUAAACUUCGACAGGAAGAGGCACAUCUUAGCAAUGUCCGCACUCCCAGGGCAUGGCAGUUAUUACAACAUGUUUGGAAGCAGUGAAAUUAAAUUGUGACUAGAUGUGACCCAAUCAAAUGGUAGACGAGUGCUUGAUGAGGGUCAGGCACAUGAUGAGCACUGUUUGGUGGUGAUGAGGGUUCAAAAAAGUCCAAGGCAGUAUCCUCUACCUCUUUUUUCUCCUUGGAGAAAUACUAGAAACAUUGGAGGAAUUUAGGAGAAAACAUACUGCCUAGCGUUCUCUCCAAGGACAGAAAAACCUCUUCUCUUAGCUAUAAAGUCAACUGAGUCUUUGCAAAGAAUAUUUACCCAAGGGAACUGACUUAUGAUGCAUCUAUUUAAAAAAAGCUGAGAAAAGGUGAGGGAGGGGAUUACAUUUUGAAUAUCAACAAAAUCUCUUCGAAAUUUUCCAUUCUUCUGCUUGUAGAUACAAGUGAGUUUGCAUGGAUACAUUAUCUAGAAUCCCACAGACUCCUGCUUCUAUACAAGACCUCUGCUCACACACCCUUUUGGAAGACUGUUCCCCUCCCCACACUUUCCUGAGUCCCCAGAGGAUGUUUCCUGUGUACUUAAUAAAAAACUCCACAACUUUCAGCAGCUGGCUGUUGUUAUUUCCUCGUCUUGAUGUUCACUUCAGCCUCCAAUAUUUGCCUCUUUUCCAUGAGCCCCAAGAAUCUGCCAGAUAGGCACUGCUUGUCCGGUAAAGCCCUCAGGUGCCGAAGGAGUGAGCAAUCAUGGCUGAAUGAAGGAAAAUGAGUGGGCAUUCUAACCAACUCUGAUGAUUGCAACCUUGACUUUCAUUACAAAGAGAGCACAUAACUUUCAGAUAGCUUAAUUGAUAAACAAAACUGUUGACACAGAAGAUUCAAGCACCCUUCCUCCGUAUUAGCAAUGGAAGACAAUAAAUAUCGUCAUAUGUUAUAUGCACCAAACAUCUCUGGAAGGAUGCACAAAUUCAGAUUCCAGAGGCCUGUAUCUUCAGAUUAAAACUGUUCUGCACCACCAGGAAUAGAAGGGCUCAACAUUUUUCUCAAUGAGAAAAGCAUUGUCAAUUGAAGAUUGUUAACUCUGAUAAUAACACCUAACCUUAUUAAAUUACUACCACCUUCUUACUUGCAGGUACUGUGAUUCACUUUUCUCAUGCUUCAUCUCAGGUCAGCGCUCACUUCCACUGCUACAAUCCUAAAAACAGGCCAUGGGCCAAGGGUAGCCCCGUGCACAUAGCACACCUUCAAAGCCUACUGCAUGUAAUCACAACUACCAACUGGCUGUGCAAUUUAAUGGAACCUGAAUAUACAAAGGUAACUUCGGCGGUGAGGACCAAAGAGAGUUCUAUUUAUUACUUUCUAUUUGAGAACAGAGAAGUAAGCAAAGUUGUAUGGUGCUGAGGGAUCAGAAGGAGUGGAAAUAAGAAUGAAGCUCUGGGUUGUAUAUGGUGGCUAAAGGACUUUUCAUCACAAAGAUGCCUAUGGUUUAGUUUUAAUUUGUUCAUGUGUAUGUGAUGUUACAUUUGUACUCUGAUAUACUUCAGGAAAGUCUGCUACUCACACAAAAUGACCUUGUAUAGGUAGGUGUAUGUGUAUGUUUAUUUUUGUUAGUUAAUGGUAGGGGAGGGUUGCAAUUUUUUUGGAUAUGUGAAAAAUAUGGAAAAGAUCCAAGGGUCUUUGUGUCAGUCUCAGGGUUGACACAGUCUGAGAAGAACAACAUGAGCAAAAGAGCAAGUCAAUUCAUAAAAUGAGAGCCAACUGUUGGAAGCAGGUGUCCAAAGCCAGAGGUGGCCAUGAGAACACAAGUCCCUCUGGAGCUCAUGGCAAUCUGGGAAAGGGCUAUGGUCUUCCACAUUCCAGGGAAUGGGGCUCAAAUCAAUCCUCCUAACACCUAAAGAGUUAGGGAGAACUCCAAACACCCACAAUACAUAAGUAUUUGCUUUGAACAAAACAUUUUCCCCACAGUUAUUACAGAAACCGCAAUCAAAAGAUUUGUCUGUCCAUCGCCUGUUAGAAGGCUGCAGGAAUAUAAGACUAUGCAUUGUUUAAAUCUCUUAAAAACAAGAUUUGUCUUCCCUAUAAGAACUUCAUUUUCUAAAAGUAGGUUGGUCCCUAGAGAAGGGAUUACUUAAAUUAAAGCCAAUCUGUGAAACAUGUAAUUAUUUCUCUGGAGUGUCAGCAUUUACUUCUCUUGGAGAAAGCCUGCAGAUCUGGGCUGAAAUGGUGUAGUUGCAUCAGUAUUUUGUGGUCAUUGGACUUGGUUCCUUGUAUCUGAUAACAUAUUUCUAUAAAGGCUACAUGUGAAUUUUAUGUAAAAUGGUUAUUGAAAUGUUGUCCAUUUUGUUAUUUGUUGUCUGUGGCAAAGACUAGCAGUUGCUCAUCAAAUGUUUUUGGUGGUAUAUACCUAACCAGAAGAAGACUACAUACACUUCCCAGCCAACCCUGCAUCCUUACAUGAUGUGGCAUGUGCUCAGUUGGAGACAAUAAAUUGGUGCAAAAGUGGUUGUAUGAGAGAGAGUUCUGGAAAAUUCUCUUAAAUGGAAAAGGACAAAUAACUUUGGAGGCUUACUCCUUCUUUCUCACAGCCUGAAAGUCAGAUAUGAUCACUAAAGCACCAUAGCUGUGUUGGACCAAAAGGUACUUUAAGGAUGGAAAGCACAAAUCUUGAGAAUGAUCAACCAGAAAAUAAGAGCCCAUGUCCUUGGUGACACCAUGAAGAUUCUCCAAAAAAGCUUGGGAUUUCUUCUUUUAUUUGAGAGAGAAAUAGCUGCUCAUUUGUUUAAAGCAUUUUUAUUUGGGGGUUUCCUGUUUUAUGCAGCAAAUCUAACCAUCUGUCUCCUGCAUAAGGAUAUGAAUUGUAAGUUUCUUGUAGAGUUUACUGCCAGGAAAGGCUACUUCUUUCAUGAUAGGUUUACUUUAUAUCUCGCUGCCUUUGCUUUUUAUGGAGAGCAGAGUUAAAUUUAGUGGUUGUUGCAAAAUGAUUCUUGCGGUAGGCUGCUGGUAUAAUGAUUUUUAUCUCUCCCCCUGCCCCCAGCUUGAACCAUUCCCACAUCUUCUGGUACUUUACCUCCAUUUGAAUUAGUUCAGUUGCAUAUCUUUACAAACUUCCUGAAAAGUGCUUUUAAAAAUAUAUAAUCAGAAGAUUUAGCAUGAUCUGCUGAUUAGGUGACAUUACAUUUUAGAAAAGAAUCAUAUAGGAAAAGGGAACUGUGGUUUAAAUCACUGAUAUUUAACCAAAAACUGCUUCAUUCUCCCUUAGCUGAAGGAUAUUUUCUCUCUGCUCAUCAAACAAAUCAAAGACAAACAAGACCUAUGUAUAUUUACAAAAACAAUUCAGAUUAUAAAUAUAGUUCUUACACUGUUGCUUCUUUUGUAUACACAGAACUCAGGAACUCAAGACAUGGCUAUUUACAAGCACUAAAUUCAUCAGUGUUGGGUAAUGAAUUUUUAUGCUAACCGCUAGUAAGGAGCAGAGCCAAAAUUGAAACUCAGGUCUCUGUCCUCUGUCCAUAGUACUGAUUCCAACUUGUAGAAAAUAAUGAGAUGGUGCAAUCUCAGGGGGAAACAAAAGGUAAUGUACCAACAGCCACCAUCUCCUCACCUCUUCAAAGAUGUUUUGUUUUGUUUGUUUGUUUUUUAAUUAAAAAGAACAGAUAAAAUAACAAAAUAAACCUCUACAGAUUUCACAGUUACACCUCUGCCACCAGUCUGAGGUGCUGACCUCUGGAAAUCAGUGACCUGAUGGUGACACACCUCCUGCCCCUCCCUAACCUGUUCUCUUGCUUCCUUCAAACUGGAAACUUCUCAGAUCUGCAGGGACUUGCUAUAGGUAUAAGUACACUGGGGACAAGAGUGGGGUGAUUUUCACUACAGUAUAUAAAUAAAUGCAGAAAAUAUAA